GAUGAACGCUAGCGGCAGGCCUAAUACAUGCAAGUCGGACGGUAAAUGGCCCUUCGGGGCUAUGAGAGUGGCGCACGGGUGCGUAACGCGUAUGCAACCUACCCAAUGCUGGCGGAUAGCCCGGAGAAAUUCGGAUUAAGCCGUCAUGAGGAGCGGAGAGGGCAUCCUUUCUGUUUCAAAUAUUCAUAGGCGUUGGAUGGGGAUGCGUGACAUUAGAUAGUAGGCGGGGUAACGGCCCACCUAGUCUACGAUGUCUAGGGGUUCUGAGAGGAAGGUCCCCCACACUGGAACUGAGACACGGUCCAGACUCCUACGGGAGGCAGCAGUGAGGAAUAUUGGUCAAUGGUCGGAAGACUGAACCAGCCAAGUAGCGUGAAGGAUGAAGGUUCUAUGGAUUGUAAACUUCUUUAUACGGGAAUAAAACACCUUACGUGUAGGGUCUUGUAUGUACCGUAUGAAUAAGCAUCGGCUAACUCCGUG
rnacentral:rRNA from 1 species